UUGCUUAAAUUGAUAUCUAUGAACUCAAAAUCCCUAAGCCAAAAUGUGUUGAAUUUGGUGGUUGCAUUUCCAUGGUCAUAGCGAUUGGAAAGUUCUCUCGCUCACUCUCCCUGUGUAGUGUCUCGUUUUCAUGGCUACCGCGAGCUCUCUCUCCCUCUUACGUGGUCCGCUGACAGUACGAGCUUUAGGUUUCGUUAGAGCGUCUAAUACUCGUCUUCCCCAGUCUCUUCCGCUCUUCCAUCGCGCUAUUCACUACCGCAGGUCUUAUGUAAGUGCUGCAACUGAUGAAGAGGCUUCUGCCAGGCUUGCUGCAGCCACUGCUGAUACUGGAGCCCCAACAAUAUUUGAUAAAAUAAUUGCUAAGGAGAUACCUUCAACCAUAGUAUAUGAGGAUGAUGAGGUUCUUGCUUUUCGGGAUAUCAAUCCACAAGCUCCUGUUCAUGUUCUAAUUAUUCCAAAAUUAAGGGAUGGAUUAACACAACUCAGCAAGGCUGAAGAAAGACACACAGAGAUCUUGGGACGUCUUCUCUAUGCUGCCAAAAUUGUAGCAGAGAAAGAAGGAAUUGUGGAUGGCUUUCGAGUUGUUAUUAACAAUGGCCUUCAAGCGUGUCAAUCUGUUUACCAUCUUCACUUGCACGUACUCGGUGGGAGACAGAUGAAAUGGCCUCCGGGCUGAUCCAGGAUAUAUAUCAUCAAACUUGCACACACUCGGGUCAAUCAAGUUUAGAACUUGAGGUUCUAUCAUGGCUCAUGGAUCGUGGACAUCGGAGUGUACGUCUCUACACGGAUUGCCUAACUCUAAAGAAUUACUUGUCGUCCAAUAGUGGACCAGUUCGUUCUUAUGUUGGCUAUGCCAUAGAUAGUUGCAAGUCUAUUAUUACUUCGUUUGAUUACUGCUUUAUUAGCUUCGUACCUAGAUCAGAUAAUUUAGUAGCUCAUACUUUAGCAUCUUCAGCUUUUGAUUACGCUACUGUUAUGUAUUGGGAUGAUAUCCCACCUGACACUAUUUCAG